rnacentral:rRNA from 1 species
GUACACGCUGUGACUAGCAUAUCAAUAAGCGGAGGAAAAGUAACUAACAAGGAUUCCCCUAGUAACGGCGAGUGAAGCGGGAAGAGCUCAAAUUUGAAAUCUUAAAGGGUUUUCCCUUUACGAAUUGUAGUUUAAAGAAGUGUUUUCUGUUGAGGUUUUGGUAAAAGUUCUUUGGAAUAGGACAUCAUAGAGGGUGAGAAUCCCGUAUUUGACCUUUACUUUCAACUUUGUGAUACACUUUCAAAGAGUCGGAUUGUUUGGGAAUGCAGUCCAAAAUGGGUGGUAAAUUUCAUCUAAAGCUAAAUAUUGGCGAGAGACCGAUAGCGAACAAGUACCGUGAGGGAAAGAUGAAAAGAACUUUGAAAAGAGAGUUAAACAGUACGUGAAAUUGUCAAAAGGGAAGCGUUUGACACCAGUGUUGUUUUUCUGAAAAUCAAUUAAAGAACUGUUUAUGCUAAGUUGUUUAGACUUUAUCAGCUAACUGUUUAGUUUUGAGCUUUUCUUUAAUGCACUUUUCAGUUAACAAGUCAACAUCAAUUUCUUUUGCUGUAAAAAAGCUUGAGGAAGGUGGCUUGAGAUUCGUCUUAAGUGUUUAUAGCCUCUUGCCUAUGCAGUCGGAGAGAUUGAGGUCUGCAGCGUAGAUCCUUCGGGGCUAAAUGCAUUUGUGCUAAGUUAUAGCAUUUUAUAGACAACUUGUUGACUAUGAUUUGUCUUGUAGCUUACUCGCUUAUGUUAUUUUACCUACGCUUAGGAUGUUGAAGAUGUAGCACAUCAU